GAUGAACGCUGGCGGCGUGCCUAAUACAUGCAAGUCGAGCGAACAGACGAGGAGCUUGCUCCUCUGACGUUAGCGGCGGACGGGUGAGUAACACGUGGAUAACCUACCUAUAAGACUGGGAUAAUUUCGGAAAACCGGCGCUAAUACCGGAUAAUAUAUUGAUCCGCAUGGUUCAAUAGUGAAAGACGGUUUUGCUGUCACUUAUAGAUGGAUCUGCGCCGCAUUGGCUAGUUGGUAGGGUAACGGCUUACCAAGGCGACGAUGCGUAGCCGACCUGUGAGGGUGAUCGGCCGCACUGGAACUGAGCCGCGCACCAGGCUCCUACGGGAGGCAGCAGUAGGCUAUCUUCCGCAAUGGUCGAAAGCCUUACGGAGCAACGCCGCGUGAGUGAUGAAGGUCUUCCGAGCGUAAAACUCUGUUAUUAGUGAAGAACAAAUUUGUAAGUUACUAUGCACUGCUUGACGGUACCUAAUCAGAAAGCCACGGCUAACUACGUG
rnacentral:rRNA from 1 species